rnacentral:rRNA from 1 species
CCUACGGGUGGCAGCAGUGAGGAAUCUUGGUCAAUGGACGCAAGUCUGAACCAGCCAUGCCGCGUGCAGGAUGACGGCUCUAUGAGUUGUAAACUGCUUUUGUACGGGGGUAAACGCCGAUACGUGUAUCGGGUUGAAAGUAUCGUACGAAUAAGGAUCGACUAACUCCGUGCCAGCAGCCGCGGUAAUACGGAGGAUCCGAGCGUUAUCCGGAUUGAUUGGGUUUAAAGGGUGCGUAGGCGGUUUGAUAAGUUAGAGGUGAAAUGUCGGGGCUCAACCCCGAACCUGCAUGUGAUACUGUUGGACUAGAGUAUAGUAGAGGUAAGCGGAAUGUCAGGUGUAGCGGUGAAAUGCUUAGAGAUC